UGCCCGGGUGGCGGAAUUGGCAGACGCGCGAGACUCAAAAUCUCGUGCCCAUCAAGGGCGUGUGGGUUCGAGUCCCACCCCGGGCAA
rnacentral:tRNA from 1 species